AUUGAACGCUGGCGGCAUGCCUUACACAUGCAAGUCGAACGGUAACAGGUCUUCGGAUGCUGACGAGUGGCGAACGGGUGAGUAAUACAUCGGAACGUGCCUAGUAGUGGGGGAUAACUACUCGAAAGAGUGGCUAAUACCGCAUGAGAUCUACGGAUGAAAGCAGGGGAUCGCAAGACCUUGUGCUACUAGAGCGGCCGAUGGCAGAUUAGGUAGGUGGUGGGAUAAAAGCUUACCAAGCCGACGAUCUGUAGCUGGUCUGAGAGGACGAUCAGCCACACUGGGACUGAGACACGGCCCAGACUCCUACGGGAGGCAGCAGUGGGGAAUUUUGGACAACGGGCGAAAGCCUGAUCCAGCAAUGCCGCGUGCAGGAUGAAGGCCUUCGGGUUGUAAACUGCUUUUGUACGGAACGAAAAGCCCUGGGUUAAUACCCUGGGGUCAUGACGGUACCGUAAGAAUAAGCACCGGCUAACUACGUGCCAGCAGCCGCCGUAACAC
rnacentral:rRNA from 1 species